CACGUAGGGCGCAAGCGUUGUCCGGAAUUAUUGGGCGUAAAGAGCUCGUAGGCGGUCUGUCGCGUCGGCUGUGAAAACCCGGAGCUCAACUCCGGGCCUGCAGUCGAUACGGGCAGACUGGAGUUCGGCAGGGGAGACUGGAAUUCCUGGUGUAGCGGUGAAAUGCGCAGAUAUCAGGAGGAACACCGGUGGCGAAGGCGGGUCUCUGGGCCGUAACUGACGCUGAGGAGCGAAAGCGUGGGGAGCGAACAGG
rnacentral:rRNA from 1 species